rnacentral:rRNA from 1 species
AUUGAACGCUGGCGGCAGGCCUAACACAUGCAAGUCGAGCGAGCGGCGGACGGGUGAGUAAUGCCUGGGAAACUGCCUGAUGGAGGGGGAUAACUACUGGAAACGGUAGCUAAUACCGCAUACCAUCAGAUGUGCCCAGAUGGGAUUAGCUAGUAGGUGGGGUAACGGCUCACCUAGGCGACGACCCCUAGCUGGUCUGAGAGGAUGACCAGCCACACGGGAACUGAGACACGGUCCAGACUCCUACGGGAGGCAGCAGUGGGGAAUAUUGCACAAUGGGCGCAAGCCUGAUGGAGCCAGGCCGCGUGUGUGAAGAAGGCCUUCGGGUUGUAAAGCACUUUCAGCGGGGAGGCGUUACCCGAAGAAGAAGCCACGGCUAACUACGUGCCAGCAGCCGCGGUAAUAC